rfam:Picea glauca, whole genome shotgun sequence.
ACAUGCCUACAACAUAGCGUUAAUGCACCGGGUCCCAUUAGAACUAUGCGGUUAAGUGCACUCAGGCUAGAGUAGUACUGGAAUGGGUGAUCGUCCGGGAAGUCCUAGUAUUUUACAUGCC